rnacentral:rRNA from 1 species
GAUGAACGCUGGCGGCGUGCCUAAUACAUGCAAGUCGAGCGAAUGGAUUGAGAGCUUGCUCUUAUGAAGUUAGCGGCGGACGGGUGAGUAACACGUGGGUAACCUGCCCAUAAGACUGGGAUAACUCCGGGAAACCGGGGCUAAUACCGGAUAACAUUUUGAACCGCAUGGUUCGAAAUUGAAAGGCGGCUUCGGCUGUCACUUCUGGAUGGACCCGCGUCGAAUUAGCUAGUUGGUGAGGUAACGGCUCACCAAGGCAACGAUGCGUAGCCGACCUGAGAGGGUGAUCGGCCACACUGGGACUGAGACACGGCCCAGACUCCUACGGGAGGCAGCAGUAGGGAAUCUUCCGCAAUGGACGAAAGUCUGACGGAGCAACGCCGCGUGAGUGAUGAAGGCUUUCGGGUCGUAAAACUCUGUUGUUAGGGAAGAACAAGUGCUAGUUGAAUAAGCUGGCACCUUGACGGUACCUAACCAGAAAGCCACGGCUAACUACGUGCCAGCCGCCGCCGUAA